GUAACCUGCCCUUGACUCUGGGAUAAGCCUGGGAAACUGGGUCUAAUACCGGAUAUGACCUUCCAUCGCAUGGUGGUUGGUGGAAAGCUUUUGUGGUUUUGGAUGGACUCGCGGCCUAUCAGCUUGUUGGUGGGGUAAUGGCCUACCAAGGCGACGACGGGUAGCCGGCCUGAGAGGGUGACCGGCCACACUGGGACUGAGACACGGCCCAGACUCCUACGGGAGGCAGCAGUGGGGAAUAUUGCACAAUGGGCGCAAGCCUGAUGCAGCGACGCCGCGUGAGGGAUGACGGCCUUCGGGUUGUAAACCUCUUUCAGUAGGGAAGAAGCGAAAGUGACGGUACCUGCAGAAGAAGCGCCGGCUAACUACGUGCCAGCAGCCGCGGUAAUACGUAGGGCGCAAGCGUUAUCCGGAAUUAUUGGGCGUAAAGAGCUCGUAGGCGGUUUGUCGCGUCUGCCGUGAAAGUCCGGGGCUCAACUCCGGAUCUGCGGUGGGUACGGGCAGACUAGAGUGAUGUAGGGGAGACUGGAAUUCCUGGUGUAGCGGUGAAAUGCGCAGAUAUCAGGAGGAACACCGAUGGCGAAGGCAGGUCUCUGGGCAUUAACUGACGCUGAGGAGCGAAAGCAUGGGGAGCGAACAGGAUUAGAUACCCUGGUAGUCCAUGCCGUAAACGUUGGGCACUAGGUGUGGGGGACAUUCCACGUUUUCCGCGCCGUAGCUAACGCAUUAAGUGCCCCGCCUGGGGAGUACGGCCGCAAGGCUAAAACUCAAAGGAAUUGACGGGGGCCCGCACAAGCGGCGGAGCAUGCGGAUUAAUUCGAUGCAACGCGAAGAACCUUACCAAGGCUUGACAUGGACCGGACCGCCGCAGAAAUGUGGUUUCCCCUUUGGGGCCGGUUUACAGGUGGUGCAUGGUUGUCGUCAGCUCGUGUCGUGAGAUGUUGGGUUAAGUCCCGCAACGAGCGCAACCCUCGUUCUAUGUUGCCAGCGGUUCGGCCGGGGACUCAUAGGAGACUGCCGGGGUCAACUCGGAGGAAGGUGGGGACGACGUCAAAUCAUCAUGCCCCUUAUGUCUUGGGCUUCACGCAUGCUACAAUGGCCGGUACAAAGGGUUGCGAUACUGUGAGGUGGAGCUAAUCCCAAAAAGCCGGUCUCAGUUCGGAUUGGGUCUGCAACUCGACCCCAUGAAGUCGGAGUCGCUAGUAAUCGCAGAUCAGCAACGCUGCGGUGAAUACGUUCCCGGGCCUUGUACACACCGCCCGUCAAGUCACGAAAGUUGGUAACACCCGAAGCCGGU
rnacentral:rRNA from 1 species